AGCGAACGCUGGCGGCAGGCCUAACACAUGCAAGUCGAACGGAUCCUUCGGGAUUAGUGGCGGACGGGUGAGUAACACGUGGGAACGUGCCCUUUGGUUCGGAACAACUCAGGGAAACUUGAGCUAAUACCGGAUGUGCCCUUCGGGGGAAAGAUUUAUCGCCAUUGGAGCGGCCCGCGUCUGAUUAGCUAGUUGGUGAGGUAACGGCCCACCAAAGCGACGAUCAGUAGCUGGUCUGAGAGGAUGAUCAGCCACACUGGGACUGAGACACGGCCCAGACUCCUACGGGAGGCAGCAGUGGGGAAUCUUGCGCAAUGGGCGAAAGCCUGGCGCAGCCAUGCCGCGUGAAUGAUGAAGGUCUUAGGAUUGUAAAAUUCUUUCAGCGGGGACGAUAAUGACGGUACCCGCAGAAGAAGCUCCGGCUAACUUCGUG
rnacentral:rRNA from 1 species